AAAACUAAUAUUUUUUUUACAAAAUGGUAUAUGUGACAAACUCCCCUCUUUUGAGGUUGCCACGAGUGCUUGGAGAGGACUACUUGCCAGCCUCUUACCAUGUGAUUACGGCCCCAUGUUGUAUGCACCAGUUUUAUGCAAUAGCGGCAUAGUUAUAUAAGUUCAUGUAUUUUUCUGUCUUUGGAAUUGUAUUGUAUGUUAUGUGAGGGUACCCAGAUAGCUAAUUUUAGUGUAUUUGUGUAGUCUGAGUGCCAUUC